rnacentral:rRNA from 1 species
CCUACGGGAGGCAGCAGUGAGGAAUAUUGGUCAAUGGGCGUAAGCCUGAACCAGCCAAGUCGCGUGAGGGAUGAAGGUUCUAUGGAUCGUAAACCUCUUUUAUAAGGGAAUAAAGUGUGGGACGUGUCCUAUUUUGUAUGUACCUUAUGAAUAAGGAUCGGCUAACUCCGUGCCAGCAGCCGCGGUAAUACGGAGGAUCCGCGCGUUUUCCGGAUUUAUUGGGUUUAAAGGGUUCGUAGGCGGCCUUUUAAGUCAGCUGUGAAAGUCUGUGGCUCAACCAUAGAAUGGCCGUUGAAACUGGGGGGCUUGAGUAUGUUUGAGGCAGGCGGAAUGCGUGGUGUAGCGGUGAAAUGCUUAGAUAUCACGCAGAACCCCGAUUGCGAAGGCAGCCUGCCAAGCCAUGACUGACGCUGAUGCACGAAAGCGUGGGGAUCAAACAGGAUUAGAUACCCUGGUAGUC